rnacentral:rRNA from 1 species
UACGUAGGUGGCGAGCGUUGUCCGGAAUUACUGGGUGUAAAGCGCGUGUAGGCGGGAGGCCAAGUCUGUGGUGAAAUCGCUCGGCUUAACUGGGCGGGGUCCAUGGAAACUGGUCACCUGGAGGUCGGUAGAGGCAAGUGGAAUUCCCGGUGUAGUGGUGAAAUGCGUAGAGAUUGGGAGGAACACCAGUGGCGAAGGCGGCUACCUGGACCGGUUCUGACGCUGAGGCGCGAAAGCGUGGGUAGCAAACAGG